rnacentral:rRNA from 1 species
GACAGAGGGUGCAAACGUUGUUCGGAAUUACUGGGCGUAAAGCGCGUGUAGGCUGCUCAGAAAGUCGGAUGUGAAAGCCCUGGGCUUAACCUAGGAAGUGCAUUCGAAACUUCUGAGCUGGAGUUCUGGAGAGGAAGGCGGAAUUCUCGGUGUAGAGGUGAAAUUCGUAGAUAUCGAGAGGAACAGCCGGUGGCGAAGGCGGCCUUCUGGACAGUGACUGACGCUGAGACGCGAAAGCGUGGGGAGCAAACAGG